rnacentral:rRNA from 1 species
UAACUGAAGAGUUUGAUCAUGGCUCAGAUUGAACGCUGGCGGCAGGCUUAACACAUGCAAGUCGAGCGGGGGAAGGUAGCUUGCUACUGGACCUAGCGGCGGACGGGUGAGUAAUGCUUAGGAAUCUGCCUAUUAGUGGGGGACAACAUCUCGAAAGGGAUGCUAAUACCGCAUACGUCCUACGGGAGAAAGCAGGGGAUCUUCGGACCUUGCGCUAAUAGAUGAGCCUAAGUCGGAUUAGCUAGUUGGUGGGGUAAAGGCCUACCAAGGCGACGAUCUGUAGCGGGUCUGAGAGGAUGAUCCGCCACACUGGGACUG